UGAAGCCCGGGGCUGUGCAGGCAUUGCAGCGGGGAGUGCAGCUCGCCGGCACUAGAGGGCACAGCAACAGCUCCUCUGGAGCCCCUGGACACGCUAACCCUAACAAAUCCGGCUCCCUAAUGAGUGUGGCCAGGGGCCGAUACUUUCUUUUACUAAGACAACAGCUGCACUGCACAACCUUGAUGAAUCCCCAUAAGGCUGACUGGAUUCAUUCCCAGCCAGGAAGCUGGUUCAGCAAAACAGCUGCAUUAGUUAUUUAACUGGAGGCCUGAUUCUCCUCUUGCUCGCCCUGAUGUAAAUCAGAAGUAGUACUGGAGAAAGAGAAGAAUAUCCGUCGAGCGAAGUGCAUAUCAGAGGAAUAGUCAGCAUUAUAGUAUGGAACAACCAGGGGAACUCUAGCAGUUAUUCUGCAUUCCUAGUACAGGAUACUGCAUAAUGUCCUACAACAACCUUCCACCAAGCACACAGCUGACUCCUAGCACUAUUCUCGUGUACAUACACUGCGGUAGCACCAAGCAGACAAAAAAAUAAGGCCCUGUUGUGCUCAGUGUUGCAACUCAAUACCACAAAUUCACAUGUAACUUAUUCACAUGUAACUUAUUCUGUAGUAAACACCAUGUUCACUACUGUUUGCAUCUGGUUCAUAAUUGUUCCCUCUCAGUUAUUUGAUUUUUACGGUAUCUGCUACAAAUUACGUUACAGCUCCUAGCACAGGAAAACACGCUCAUUGGUUUUCCUCCUAGGCUGAACUGAUGCAUACAACGAUUAACCCAGAAGCACAUUUUGGGAAAGAGGAUGUCAAAUGAGAAGCAAUACAGUAAAAAAGAGGAUAGAACAUCCAUAAGCACCUGAAGUAUUUCAUACAAUAUUGUAUCUCAAGACAGCAAAAGAUUGGUACCAGAGCCUCAUGUGCUUUGGAGAUGGACAUCUUCAAUCCUCCAGGCCUUUAACAGCCUUUCUAUUUGAUCGUAUUGCAAAGUUACAGCAUGUGCUGGUAAUAACAUCCAAAGCUACCGUAUCUCAGUGUUCUUCCCCCAGCCCUCGGCCUGCUUCCCUCGGCACAAGAUAUUUGUAAUAUCGUGGCUACAGCCUUUGAUUCUCUUGUUUGUUUCUCUUGGUUUUGUUUGUGCUUUGGAGUCCCAAGCAUCUGCAGUGGCUGUGGGCUGGGAAUAUCAGUGCAGAUCCCCUAUGCAGACCUAUCCGCAGGGCUCCCUGAACUCCUCUACGUAGGAAUCUUCUAGUUCCCAGCAGUCUGCUUUGACACCAGCACCUGUAUUGAUUGUAUUUGUUGACUCUUCCAAGUACAUUACUGAAUCUUCUCUGGAGUUACAGCAGUUUCCCUUUGUAGAAAUCUAAGGUUUGGAGAUGCUACCCUUCCAGGCAGAAAGGAAGCACUCGGCUCUUGUAUGAAGACACCUGCAUUAAACACCUUCAUUCCCAAACCUUGGAACGGUUUGAGGAAGACGACAGCAGAGGGAAAGCCGUAACAUUUAGCGCUUGAGCCACACCUGUGCCAUGAUGCCUUUAUGAGACACGCUGGGCAAGGCACAUGUCCUCAGUCCCAUCCCGAGACCCGUACCCAGCUCCUGAGCUCCUGCAGUCACAGGGUUACAGCAGCAUCUAUGCCUCAGUUUAAAACAAGGACAAACUUCCAGCCUUUGAUGUUGUGGGGCUCAGUCUGAAAUGUGACAAGGUGACACCAAGCCAGUGAUAUCAGCCUGAGUCCAAGGCCUCCCUCUUCAUGCAGGUCUCUGAUGUGGCUCUUCUAUUUCCACUUUUGCCCCCCAGUUUCAAGGUUCUCCAGCAAUAUGUUCUGCAACAAACUGGGAUUUCUGGGGCAAUUUCAGUAAGAUUAGAAGUAUAUCCUUCUGCUGCUUCAAAAUCUGUCAACGUGAAUGAUUCAUUCAGCACAGAACCCCUUGGCCAUUCAUAUCUAUAUGAUGAUCAAAUAUAUUUUUAAUUAUCAAUCUGAGGUAAUUUUUUUUUCAUACUAGACAAUAUCCAACUGUAUUGUAAGAGCUGUUGGGAGCAAGCCAGAAAAUUUGGCAGCACAACAUGGAACAUUUGGGCUUUCAACACUUAGGAGCAUAUGGAAAGAGGUUUGGAAGAGUGCCACAUGGGGUGUUACUUGGAAGAUACUACAUUUCUUCAUCAUUUUUUGUGGACAGAAGUAGAAGAAAUUUCACUUUUUUGAAGGAUCCUAAUUCCUGUUCAUUUUCAAUGAUGUACUGCUGCUCUGGAACUAACCACUAUGUUCAGUAGCAAAUAAGCUGCAUGUUUAUGGGCAGCUGCAGAUGGGUAAUUAUACUGGUGACAGUAUUGCAGAUCUUCCCAAGUUCUUACCUCCAAAUUCAUGAGAACCCUCACAGCUGAACCCAAAAGGCUACACUCUGGUGACUCAGACCACGCUGGGAAUGAGGAUGCGUGGUGCCUGGCCUGAGCCAGGAUGUGUGCCUCAUGCUGAGGACAAGGCCCUGCGAGGUGGCCCAUCCUUCCUGCUCCCCCUGCGGCCAUCUGUCCCACCAUCACCACAACACCCACGGACGGAUGGACACUUUGGGCUGUCUGCCUCUGGCACGUACUUUCAUCAUAUGGGUCAGAACAAGUCACAGCUGGGGCAGCAGGGGAAUGGGAGAGAAGAGUCACCUCCAGAUGUAUGCUGAGGAGUGGACAUCCAAGAAGCAGCAGCAUCUUUGGGCCACGUUACGGACAAAUGCCUCAUGCCCAUGACAGGAGAAUUCCAUGUGUCUCAGAGUCAUUGCCUCUGUUUGUCAGAAAAGUGAUGCAUACUUUCCUUCAUAUUUUGGUAAUUCAUUUGCAAUAAGUGCUGCUUAGGAAUACAUUUUCAUGCAUUUUUUUUUUGUGGCAUAACUGUGCAUUAGGUAUGGGGCUGAAGCAAAUGCAGAAUUUAUUGGAAUACGCAAACCUACAUAUGUUGUCUUAAUUUGCGCUAUUGGCACAUGAGCCCUGCAGCUCAAUGAAUUAACCUCUCCAACUGGUAGGAAAGCUCCAUCAUCAUCUUGGUUCAGCAAUGAGGGACAAAGGCCAAGAGAUCUGCAGGGGCUUGUACCGACUGAUGAAGUCACAGCAGUCAGAACUACGGUCUCCCUUGGUGUCCUGAGCAAUAAACCACCCAGCUCUGCUGGGACUACAUCUGGACAGCAGGAUGGAGGCUCUUCAGGGUUUUCCCUCAAUGCUUGUCCUAAGUAACUCAGACCAGGGCAGGCCACAGCUCUUUUUUCCCUGUGUGUGCUCUGUUUUCAUUCCUGGUGCAGGCGUAAGGGUGGUGGGAAGAGGUAUGUGCCCAGCUCCCCUCCAGCCUGGGUGCGUGGUCAUGUCGGGGAGCUGGGAAGUGCCCUCAGACCCUGAGCUUCGGUUCCAGCCUGUUUCUUGCCCACGUGGCCACUGGGGCUUUUUCACUUGCAUUUUCAUGUCACGGUUCAUUUCAGCACAGAGCAAGUUCCUGUUAUUUCUUU